CUUAAGCUACAGUUGGUAAAAAAAGAAAAAAUGAAAAACCAACUCUCCGAGUUUCAUUUUGCCUUUACACGGCAACAAGUAUCAUUUUGCCUUCAACGCCUCUCUCUCUCUCUCAUCCUCCUCCUUCGUUUUUCCCAGAAACCCCAGCCCAUAAACCAGCCAAAUAAUAAUAGUGAUGGGUAUGGCAUCCGCAUCCGUCGUCGGCGGACAGAAGCGUUGUGAGCUUCGAUGGAAGUUUUUCGUUGCAGGUCUAGGUUGCCGUAAUGGCCUGUCAAGAAACCUGGAUUUCAGAGAGUCAACUCAGAUGAAGCUGUGAGCUGAACUAACAGAGUGAAAGCUUUUUAUGGCCUAUUGAACAGCUUGAAAGCGGCUGCGAUUAAAGUGGCGGAACUAAUUUUUGAAGCACUUGUUUAUCUACUGAACAAGUUUGGGUUCUCCUUUCUUUUUUGUUUUUUGUUUUUUGGUUCUUUUUCAAAUUUGAAUGUUAUUUGCCUUUUUUGUAUUCUACAAGUUUCAACAUAAAUUUCGGCUGUUAAUAUAUUUAAGAUUUCAAUUUUGAAAGCUUUUUAUCACCAAUUGAACAGAUUUGGGUUCUUGUAUAAAUAUGUUAGUCAUGAGCAUAAACUACUUAGCCUGUUAGAGUGAAGAAGUUAGUCCAAGACAAUAGAAUUCGUAUAAACACUUCAUUGGGUCUUUAACAGGGAAGCUAAUGUAAAUAGUAGCUACAAUUAGUAUGAACAUAAACAUAGGGUACCUUCAAGAGAUUAAGUGAGUAGGUGAGAAAUGUAGAGAGAUUAAAAGUACAUGAUAUAAAUUAUGGUAUACAAUAAAAGAUGAAAAUAUGAAUGGAUAUGGAUAAUCCUAGAUAAAUGUCUUAAAAAAAUUUCUUGAGGUUGGAAGGAUAGGGGAUUAAAUUUUGCAAACAAAAUUUGUUUUAGGAGAAGAGACUAUUGACAUAGUGCAUACACUCCUCAAAUAGGGGUGGGAGAAUGCGUUAGGCAGAAAUUAUGGGAGGACAUGUAUGAAUUGAUUGAAGGUGUACCAAAUGGGUAAAAGAUUUUUAUUGAACGAGAUCUGAAUGGUCAUGCUGGAAAAGAUAGUGGAAGUUCUGAAAGAGUUCAUGCCUUCACGGAGGUCAAGGUUAUGGAGUAAGAAUUGAAUCAGGAGAUGCUAUUUUAGACUUUGCAACAAUCUAUGAUUCAAUAUUAACAAAAAAUUUGUUCAAUAUAUGAUUUAAUAUUAACGAACACUUGGUUCAAGAAGAGAGACAAAUAUUAGCAAUAUAAAUUUCAUCCUUGAAAUGUUGAUAGUAGAUGUUGUAAAGAUUGUAAGGUGAUAUCAGGGGAGAGCGUAACCACUCAGUAUAGGUUCGUGGCAUUAGAUUUUUGUAUAAGAAAGUGAAAAAGGAAAAAAGAAAAAAGAUAAAGAAAAAAAAAAAAAGAUGAUAUAUUAGAGAGUGAAACCCAAGAAUUAGGAAGGGUGUUUGAAAGGAGACAAACAGGUGUUUAAAGAUAAAAUGAUUAAAGAAGGCAAGUGAGGUCUAUACGAAGCUGUUCAUAAGAUGUGGAAUGAAAUGAGUAGUUAUAUUAUUAAAAGAGUGAUUAAGAGGUAUUUAGAGAAUCUAAAGGAUUUGUGCAAUGAACUAAAGAGAUUUGGAGGUGGAAUGAGCAACUUCAGGCAGCAGUUAGUUCAAGCCAAAAAAGGAUAGGAGCAAGGAGAAUGAAGUGGAAAAGUACACAAAAGUAUUGUAUGAUCGUUGGAUACCUAUUAAGUUAAAGGGAAAAUGUUAUAAGAUUGCUAUAACACCAAUUAAACUCUAUGGUAUCGAAUUUAAGGCUAUUAAAAAGCAAUAUUCAUAAAAUGAGUGCAGGCUCGCUACAAUUUGAGGCCUAAGGCAUGAUAAUUUGAAAUAAAAUUUUUCUUAUAUCAAAUAGCUAAACAACACACACACACACACACACGCAUAUAACUUUCUAUAUUAAGAUUUUUUUAUUUAUAGUCUAUAUUUUCAGUUUUUAAGAUGUUAAAUUUUCCUGAUUUGUGCCCCCAUAGUACAUCCCCAAUGUACUCGGUUUGGCAAUCUUUUUAUUAUUAAUAAUAUUCUUACGUUAUUUAUCAAAAUUAAAAAAAAAUGCGAAAUUAAUAAUGAAGUUUUUGUAUUCAAAUUUUGCUAACAUCUCCUUUUAUAUUGAAAACAUGAUUAAUCCAUUUGGUUUUUCUUGUGACAUGGAUUUUAUUAAAUUAGUUCUAAAAAUAAAUACAAACCGUCAAUAUUGAAUAGAUUAUUUUUAGAACUAAAUUAAUAAAUAUUGAUCAUGUGCAAAGGAGAUUGAUUAAUCCAUCAAUGAGGAUAUGAGUUGGUUCGUGUUGAGUGAAUGAAAAAAGUUAUAGAAAAUUUUAAAAUAACAUUAAUAGAAGUAGUAAAAAAUGACAUAUCAAUAAAGGAGACAGAGUAUGAUUAGAAUGACAGAAAAUAAUAUAUGUGGCCAACUCUGAUUAUUCUGUUGAGGAUCCCUAGUAGACUUUAAAGUUUUGGGACUAAGGCUUGGUUGUUGUUUAUAUUUUAACGUCAAGAUUAAUGCAUGUAUGAGGAACAAGAAAUCUUAUAUCAGACCUGUUGCUUAUUGAAGGACUUCAGUUAUUACAAACUCACCACUGCCCAAGCAUACACACAUAUGAUAGACUGAAUUUUUAGAAUUCUUGAUAAGACAAAUUGUCAGAGAUUAUUUCUUAUAGUAAGGGUGAAUGAAAUAAUCUUGAUAGUGGCUGAUUCAUCUCUUGAUAAGACAAAUUUUCAGAGAUUAUUUCUUAUAGUAAGGGUAUAUUGAUAGUGGCUUGUUCAUCUCUUUGCAUUGAAUUACACUCAUUGUGGUAGGUUUGGGAGAGAAACUUAAUAAAGCUGAAGGGAUUUCCUUUUUUUAUUAUUGAAGUAAAUUUUUUUUUUUUUUUUUAUUUAUUUAUUUUUUUUUUAAUGUAAAAGCUCAAGGAUCUCUUAUUUGUGUAUGUGCCAGUGAUGAAACACUUGUUUUCUUUGAAGCAUUUCAUGGGCUUCUUCUCUUCCUCACCCCAUUUUCGACUGCCUUAAUUGGUUUACACUUUCCAGUCAUGGGCGUCUCGCCACUUGAUACACAUUUUGCUAUCAUCUUGUUUUUCAUCAUGGCUACAAUUGUCCAUGGCAUUGCAUGUAUUGGUAUAAAGCUACUACCUCAAGACAUUGAGAACCUACCCAGAUUGAGGUUCAUUUGUCUAGUUUCUGGAAUUAUUGCUAUAGAGCUACUUGUUGCAAUAAUCAUUUCGCCCUUUUGGCUAUUCAUGGUUAAUUUAUGUCCAAUCCUGAUCCUAGGGGCACCAUGUCAUUCGUACCAACAAGUUUAUCAUUGUCUGUGCUACACAGCUAAUUUAGUACUCAAUGUAGUAUGUAGCUUGUUUAAAAAGAUUUGUCAAUUAGUUGAUCAGAUAUAUGACUGGAUCCAAAAGAAAUUCCAGUAAAGCAGCUUCUCAAGCAUUGUCUUCAAGGGAACAGGAAGACAAUGGUGUGCAAAUGGAAGAAAUUGUUUUAGUGACCUGUUAUUGUUAAUUAGACGUAUUGUACGCACAAUUUUCACUUUGCAAUUUUCUGUUUGUGGAAGUUUGAAUUUAUUUACAUUUCAGUCAAAGUGAGGUUAAUUAUACUAUAUUCAGCA